rnacentral:rRNA from 1 species
GGAUUAGAUACCCUGGUAGUCCUAGCCGUAAACGAUGGACACUAGUUGCUGGAGGAGUCAAUCCCUUUGGUGACGAAGCUAACGCAUUAAGUGUCCCACCUGGGGAGUACGCUCGCAAGGGUGAAACUCAAAGGAAUUGACGGGGGCCCGCACAAGCGGUGGAGCAUGUGCUUUAAUUCGAUGCAACGCGAAGAACCUUACCUGGGUUUGACAUGGUAGUGAAAGUAACCAGAGAUGGAUACCUUUCCUUCGGGAACACUACACACAGGUGCUGCAUGGUUGUCGUCAGCUCGUGCUG